UACAGGGGGUGCAAACGUUGCUCGGAAUCAUUGGGCGUAAAGCGCACGUAGGCGGUCUGUUAUGUCGGAUGUGAAAGCCCUUGGCUCAACUGAGGAAGUGCAUCCGAAACUGGCAGGCUAGAGUACUAAAGAGGAUCGCGGAAUUCCGGGUGUAGUGGUGAAAUGCGUAGAGAUCCGGAGGAACACCAGUGGCGAAGGCGACACGCUGGGCCGUACCUGACACUGAUGCGCGACAGCAUGGGGAGCAAACAGG
rnacentral:rRNA from 1 species